rnacentral:rRNA from 1 species
UCCUAGCGGUCCAAGUCGCAGCCAUCAUUAUUGGGUCUAAAACAUCCGUAGCUUGUUUAAUAAGUUCCUUGUGAAAUCUUAUCUCUUAAGGAUAAGGCGUGCAAGGAGUACUGCUAAGCUAGAGACUGGAAGACGUAAGAAGUAUGUUCAAAGUAGCGGUAAAAUGUGUUAAUCUUGAGCAGACUCACAACAGCGAAGGCAUCUUACGAGGACAGUUCUGACAGUAAAGGAUGAAGGCUAGGGGCGCAAAGUGG